rnacentral:rRNA from 1 species
CAGGCUUAACACAUGCAAGUCGAGGGGCAGCAUGGUCUUAGCUUGCUAAGGCCGAUGGCGACCGGCGCACGGGUGAGUAACACGUAUCCAACCUGCCGUCUACUCUUGGACAGCCUUCUGAAAGGAAGAUUAAUACAAGAUGGCAUCAUGAGUCCACAUGUUCACAUGAUUAAAGGUAUUCCGGUAGACGAUGGGGAUGCGUUCCAUUAGAUAGUAGGCGGGGUAACGGCCCACCUAGUCUUCGAUGGAUAGGGGUUCUGAGAGGAAGGUCCCCCACAUUGGAACUGAGACACGGUCCAAACUCCUACGGGAGGCAGCAGUGAGGAAUAUUGGUCAAUGGGCGAGAGCCUGAACCAGCCAAGUAGCGUGAAGGAUGACUGCCCUAUGGGUUGUAAACUUCUUUUAUAAAGGAAUAAAGUCGGGUAUGCAUACCCGUUUGCAUGUACUUUAUGAAUAAGGAUCGGCUAACUCCGUGCCAGCAGCCGCGGUAAUACGGAGGAUCCGAGCGUUAUCCGGAUUUAUUGGGUUUAAAGGGAGCGUAGAUGGAUGUUUAAGUCAGUUGUGAAAGUUUGCGGCUCAACCGUAAAAUUGCAGUUGAUACUGGAUAUCUUGAGUGCAGUUGAGGCAGGCGGAAUUCGUGGUGUAGCGGUGAAAUGCUUAGAUAUCACGAAGAACUCCGAUUGCGAAGGCAGCCUGCUAAGCUGCAACUGACAUUGAGGCUCGAAAGUGUGGGUAUCAAACAGGAUUAGAUACCCUGGUAGUCCACACGGUAAACGAUGAAUACUCGCUGUUUGCGAUAUACUGCAAGCGGCCAAGCGAAAGCGUUAAGUAUUCCACCUGGGGAGUACGCCGGCAACGGUGAAACUCAAAGGAAUUGACGGGGGCCCGCACAAGCGGAGGAACAUGUGGUUUAAUUCGAUGAUACGCGAGGAACCUUACCCGGGCUUAAAUUGCAGAUGAAUUACGGUGAAAGCCGUAAGCCGCAAGGCAUCUGUGAAGGUGCUGCAUGGUUGUCGUCAGCUCGUGCCGUGAGGUGUCGGCUUAAGUGCCAUAACGAGCGCAACCCUUGUUGUCAGUUACUAACAGGUUCCGCUGAGGACUCUGACAAGACUGCCAUCGUAAGAUGUGAGGAAGGUGGGGAUGACGUCAAAUCAGCACGGCCCUUACGUCCGGGGCUACACACGUGUUACAAUGGGGGGUACAGAGGGCCGCUACCACGCGAGUGGAUGCCAAUCCCCAAAACCUCUCUCAGUUCGGACUGGAGUCUGCAACCCGACUCCACGAAGCUGGAUUCGCUAGUAAUCGCGCAUCAGCCACGGCGCGGUGAAUACGUUCCCGGGCCUUGUACACACCGCCCGUCAAGCCAUGGGAGCCGGGGGUACCUGAAGUGCGUAACCGCGAGGAGCGCCCUAGGGUAAAACUGGUGACUGGGGCUAAGUC